rnacentral:rRNA from 1 species
GACAGAGGGUGCGAACGUUGUUCGGAAUUACUGGGCGUAAAGCGCGUGUAGGCGGUCGUGCAAGUCGGGUGUGAAAGCCCUGGGCUCAACCCAGGAAGUGCAUUUGAUACUGCGCGACUGGAGUCCCGGAGAGGAUGGUGGAACUCUCGGUGUAGAGGUGAAAUUCGUAGAUAUCGAGAAGAACACCGGUGGCGAAGGCGGCCAUCUGGACGGUGACUGACGCUGAGACGCGAAAGCGUGGGGAGCAAACAGG